rnacentral:rRNA from 1 species
GUACGGGAGGCAGCAGUGGGGAAUCUUGGACAAUGGGCGCAAGCCUGAUCCAGCAAUGCCGCGUGUGUGAAGACGGCCUGCGGGUUGUAAAGCACUUUAGGUGGGGAAGAAGGGCCUUGGGCGAAUACCCUGAGGCGGUGACGUUACCCACGGAAUAAGCACCGGCUAACUCCGUGCCAGCAGCCGCGGUAAUACGGAGGGUGCGAGCGUUAAUCGGAAUUACUGGGCGUAAAGCGCGCGUAGGCGGUGGAGCGCGUCCUGUGUGAAAGCCCCGGGCUUAACCUGGGAAUGGCACGGGAGACGGCUCGACUGGAGUGUGACAGAGGACCGUGGAAUUCCCGGUGUAGCGGUGAAAUGCGUAGAGAUCGGGAAGAACACCGAUGGCGAAGGCAGCGGUCUGGGUCGACACUGACGCUGAGGGGCGAAAGCGUGGGGAGCAAACAGGAUUAGAUACCCUGGUAG